AACGAACGCUGGCGGCAUGCCUAACACAUGCAAGUCGAACGAGACCACCGUGUUUAGCUGCGCUCGGGUGUGGAAAGCGGGGGAAGCUGCCCGUAGGUACCGAAUACUUCUCUUUAAGGGGUGCUAACACAGGGUAACGUACUCGGAUAAAAGAUAUAUCGCACUUGGGUGGGCGCGGGAUGGUUUAGCCAGUUGGUAGGGUAAGAGCCUAUCAAGGCGAAGAUCCUUAGCUGGUCUGAGAGGAUGAUCAGCCACACUGGGGCUGGGACACGGGCCAGAGUCCUACGGGAGGCAGCAGUGGGGAAUAUUGGACAAUGGGCGAAGGCCUGAUCCAGCAAUGCCGGGUAAGUGAUGAAGGCCUUAGGGAUGUAAAGCUCUUUUACCCGGGAUGAUAAUGACAGUACCGGGAGAAUAAGCUCCGGCUAACUCCGUG
rnacentral:rRNA from 1 species